UACGUAGGGUGCGAGCGUUGUCCGGAUUUAUUGGGCGUAAAGGGUGCGUAGGCGGGUCUUUAAGUCAGGGGUGAAAUCCUGGAGCUCAACUCCAGAACUGCCUUUGAUACUGAGGAUCUUGAGUUCGGGAGAGGUGAGUGGAACUGCGAGUGUAGAGGUGAAAUUCGUAGAUAUUCGCAAGAACACCAGUGGCGAAGGCGGCUCACUGGCCCGAUACUGACGCUGAGGCACGAAAGCGUGGGGAGCAAACAGG
rnacentral:rRNA from 1 species